CCUACGGGGGGCAGCAGUGGGGAAUAUUGCGCAAUGGGCGAAAGCCUGACGCAGCGACGCCGCGUGAGGGAUGAAGGUCUUCGGAUCGUAAACCUCUGUCAGCAGGGAAGAACGGGCACUGUGCUAAUCAUCAGUGAAUUGACGGUACCUGCAAAGGAAGCACCGGCUAACUCCGUGCCAGCAGCCGCGGUAAUACGGAGGGUGCGAGCGUUAAUCGGAAUUACUGGGCGUAAAGCGCUCGUAGGCGGUAUGUCAAGUCAAGGGUGAAAUCCCCGCGCUCAACGUGGGAACUGCCUUUGAAACUGUCAGACUGGAGUGUGUGAGAGGAUAGUGGAAUUCCAGGUGUAGGAGUGAAAUCCGUAGAUAUCUGGAGGAACAUCAGUGGCGAAGGCGACUAUCUGGCACAUAACUGACGCUGAGGAGCGAAAGCGUGGGUAGCAAACAGGAUUAGAUACCCUUGUAGUC
rnacentral:rRNA from 1 species